AUUUGGGUAAACAAACUAUCACGGGGAUAAAUUGUUACAUUUGAGUAAAAUACCCAAAUGUAACAAUUUAUCCCCGUGAUAAUUUGUUUACCCAAAU